rnacentral:rRNA from 1 species
GACGAACGCUGGCGGCGUGCCUAAUACAUGCAAGUAGAACGCUGAAGGAGGAGCUUGCUUCUCUGGAUGAGUUGCGAACGGGUGAGUAACGCGUAGGUAACCUGCCUGGUAGCGGGGGAUAACUAUUGGAAACGAUAGCUAAUACCGCAUAAGAGUAGAUGUCGCAUGACAUUUGCUUAAAAGGUGCAAUUGCAUCACUACCAGAUGGACCUGCGUUGUAUUAGCUAGUUGGUGAGGUAACGGCUCACCAAGGCAACGAUACAUAGCGGACCUGAGAGGGUGAUCGGCCACACUGGGACUGAGACACGGCCCAGACUCCUACGGGAGGCAGCAGUAGGGAAUCUUCGGCAAUGGACGGAAGUCUGACCGAGCAACGCCGCGUGAGUGAAGAAGGUUUUCGGAUCGUAAAGCUCUGUUGUAAGAGAAGAACGAGUGUGAGAGUGGAAAGUUCACACUGUGACGGUAGCUUACCAGAAAGGGACGGCUAACUACGUG